rnacentral:tRNA from 1 species
GGGCCUUUAGCUCAGUCGGUAGAGCAACGGACUUUUAAUCCGUGGGUCGUGAGAUCGAAACUCACAGGGCCCA